CAUCUUUGUGGAGUUGCAAAGUGAUACUGUACCACCAUGCUGCCGGUCCAUGUGAGGGUGCAUCCUCUAGAUUCUGGAGGGAAAAAACCCUUGCAUAAUUUCCCUACAGAUUAAGUAGCAUACCCUUUACAUCAACAAAAAAGUAGUCAUCUGCUCACUUUUUGUUGAACAAUCUUCCUUCAUAAUUUGUAUGUGUAUCUGUCUUUUGGGACAUCUAGGGCCCUUGGCUUGGCCCCUUCCCUUUCUGUGAGAUACUACAGUGCGUUUGCUGGCUCUGGCUGCUGCCUGGUCAGGGAAGUUGAAUGGCAGAAAAGAAACCUAUACCAGGGCUUUUACUCAGAUAACAUAAAAUGAGACGUAUCGUAGAACUUCAAUGUGUACUUCACAAGUGAAGGCGGGAGGCUGGUUUCAUGUACUUCCUGUGCUGCCAAAGACAUAUCUCAUUCCCCUGAAACCAAAGUCUAGGAAAGUUAAAAGUUGGAUUUGCAAUCACAAGCCACCAUAUAGUCGGUAGCUGCUGUGAUAUCUGUUAGUAAUGAAACCCUUAGGGUCUUUGCCAGGUUAUCCUUGGGGAAUCUAGAAAUUCUUGGAACAAUUUCUAGAGAUUCUUGCAAGCAAACAAAAAUCUGCUACCUGCGGCCUUAGGACCGGUUCUACUAAGUUCUGCACUCAAGUUGAAUGGCAGAGAGGCAAGAAACCAGUUCACUAGAUUUCUGAUGGAACAAUUCUUUUUCAAGGUUGAAACUUUUUAAUUGGCAAGGAAACAUUGAAUCUACCCAUCCCUCCAUCCAACAACUAUUUAUUGAGAACAUAUCGUGUCUUUUGGCUCAAGAGGAGGGGUUUAAACAAAAGUGACAAUCUCACCUUUCCACCCAAAAUACCGAGGAAGAACAGUAUAUCCUUUGAAACCAUGAACAGGGGCCAGAGAGCGGGGACUAUCUUUGAUGCAUUGAAACUGGGAGAAAUCUCUGGAACAUGGAAAGUCGAUGGAGUGAGUUUUCUGAAGGAAGUAUUACUGUGGAUACUGCUGCAGAAGCGGCCUGUGAAAAAUGUGCCUGGGCUCCUAAGUGACAGAUGUGGGCUGGAAGGGUGUGCAAAGGUCACAACGGGGUGAGAGGCUGUGGCUGCCCGGAUGACCAGACAGUCAAGGUGAUUGCGCCAUAACCGCAUUUUACCUGGACUUCUCAGACGUUUGUGAUGCAGGGUCCAAGUGGAGCUCUUCAGUCUACACAAACCAAGAGACAGACACCUCUGCUGCCUCACUCUACCAAUGACAGAUACCUUCCCUGUGUUGGACAGAAGGAAGUGAAACCUGAUCAGAGUACAUACAGCAAUUUUCUCCUAGUUGCCAGGCUCACAGAAACUUUCCCAUACACAAAUGAACAUUAUGUUAUACUGAUGUCAACAGAGAGUUCACAGCAAAGGAAAGGCGAUGUGUAAGCAGAAUGGAACUUGGAAAUUAACCUGGCCAGCAGAUACACAAGGAGGCCUUGGGAACUAAAUUGCUCAACAUUUAAAACCAACAGAUGGGUUCAGAUUGCAGAGUGAACAGAACUGAAGAGAAAAGUGGUGAAGCCGGAAUGGGAGUCCUCUUGCACUUACGGGACCUAAAGAGAUGAGAUGGAGACUUGGCACGUUAAGGGCUGGGAUGGGAAGUGUGUCUGGAGUUUUAGAGGAUGGGGUGGGGUGAAGAAACAAAGACGGGAGCAGCAGACAUGAAACAAGAUAAAACCCAAGCAUUGAAUCGCAUGACCAACUGCGAUGGUCAUGGGUCAGAAUGCUUGAGAAAAUAUCCAUGACCAAAUGAACACAUCAUGGUACUAAGACAACACGAGGGGAGGGGGUGGGACAGGAUAAUUGAGAAGAGCAUGCAAACAGGAAGAAGCACAAUAAGCGUGAGAACACCUCUCACUGACAGUAUGCAUGUAAAAGAGCAACGGGACCACCUGUGGAGGUAGGAAAGACACUGGGCCUGGUGCUAUGUAUGUAUCCAUCAAAAUGAUCAAAUGUGUGGCUGAAAAGUUAUUUUGGUCAUCAUGGGUUCAGAGCUCAUCAUUUCCUGGCUUACACACACACACACACACACACACACACACACACACACACACACCACUAAAGGUCAUUAUUUAAAAAGCAAAACCAUGGAAAGAGAAGUCAAGAAAACGCUCUGUUGUAUACACCUGUGCUUUACAGACAGCAAAGGAAGGCAAGCCCCUGUACCUUCACCAGCAGAGUGGUGGCUGAGGAGGCCUGCAGGGAGUUCUCUUAGAGACUGAGGGCUAGGCUGCUGCAGUGUUUAUAAAAGGUCUCUUAGUCUCGAGUGGUCUUGCAGGUGGACUGUAUGUAUGAAAGCAUAGAGUAGACUUGUUUCUUUUGCACCCUGGGGCAUUAUGGCUACCUGGGAGAAGGAGGAUUAGAGAGAGCUCCCUGGUUAAGAUGGCAUACUGCUCUUGCAGAGGACCUCAGUUCAGUUCAGUUCCCAGUACCCACAUCAGAUGGGUUUACAGUGUCUGAAACUCCAGCUCCAGGGGAUCUCAUGUUCUCUUUGGCUCCCAAGAGCAAGUGCACUCAUGAACACACACACACACACACACACACACACACACACACACACACACAAUUAAAAUUUAAAAAAUCUGGGGAAAAAAGUAUGGCUGCCUAUUUGGAAUUGUCACCCCUUCCCUGAUUAAAUGUUUACUGUCCCUUCAAUUCACUUAGGGGCACCUAGAAGUGAGACUGGAAUAUUUGUCUUUCCCCAGACAUAAGUUGUAGCUUGCAACAAAUAUAUUUCAAUGAUUUUUCUUAUUAGAAGAAGCACAGAGACGGACUUGACUGGUAAGGACCAUAGAUUCAUACCCUAUUGAAGAGAGAGAGGCAUGGAUUGGGCAUCUUAAGGAACCCAGUGGCUUGGCAUCCCAGGCAUGGUCAGCCUGCUGGAUGGAGGAGGAAGGCUAGUCAGAAAGAGGCCUUGGCAGACUUGGAGGUUAUUUUGGGAGGCUAUAGCUUCUGGACGACCAGGGCUGAUCCACAGCAUGCCCCUCUGGCAGCCUUCCUGGGCAGGGCUUGGAAAGGAGGGUGGUUUAGCUGCAUGUCCAGCUGCUAAGGUACCAGCAAGGGUACAGUCAGUCAUCUUGGAUGCUGUGGGAAACUUAUCCACAGAGCAGGAUUCAGAAACAAUUAAAUUUUUUAUUAAAAUAAUUCUUCACCUUCAUUUUUUUUUGUCCUCUGCCUACUGUUGUGUUUGGGAAAGCCAAGUGGGGCUAUGUUUCCUUCUUGAGUUUGUGAUUCCCUGGUGGUUUCUGCAGUUCAUAGCUGGUCCCGGUUCUUGCUUAACAGAUUCCCAUUUUAUCCUUUUUCAUCUCGCCAUUUGCUCCUCAUUGUCCCCACCUCUCCAGACCUGCGGGAGAGCAGGCACUGUGCUCAUGUGAUUGUGUUCCAAGUUGUACCAUGAACCUGGCCAACAUUUUUCAGUCCUUUUAUUGUAAUCAUGGGAGUACACUGUGGAAGGAGGCCCUCAGAGUCAUGAUGUCUUGGCUCCUGGCUCCAGGCAGAAUCAAAUUGAAAGCAAUUUCCUCAGCUAAUCAUUUUUGCUUUUUUGCUUUUUAAAUACUGCUAAGGAAACAGUUGCUGCAGUGCCCGCCAGGAAAGCUUGCCUGCAUUUCUUGCUAUUAAUCAAGAAAUGGCAUGCCUCCCCUGAAGACCCACUAUGACUUAGGACAGGACCAGUAUCAGGGUUUUCCCAUCCAUCCGAGAGCUCUGAUGGCAUGCACAUAGUCUCCCGCCAUCUUUGCCCUCUUGGUUCUUGAAGCUGUUAUAGAGUGUUUUUUUUUUUGGUUACACAUUAAUGUCAAAUUCAGUCCUCAGAUGUUUUAGCCAUGCUUCAUGUGCCUUAUCCCCAUUGCAAAGCCUCUGAACACAACUAGAAGAAACUAUGGGAGGUCCAUGGUAGUGGUUGAGGCUUGUAAAGUGGAGUUGGAAGAUGAAGGGAGCUUUUACAUAACUCUACCUACCUUUUAGGAUGGAUACCCAGAAGUACCAGUCUCCAAAUGCAUGUCCCCAACACAUCCUUUCCAAUGUACGUGGGUGAUGGUCCAAUUCCAGAGGGUGCAGCUCUUCAAGCCUGGCUUGACAGCAAGACAGAUGAUUUCUACUGGUAUUUAAUUUUUUUCCCCAAAAUAAAAAAGGUUGAAGACAGGUAUGGCUGGUAUUCCUGAGACCCAAAUACUUGAGUCCCAGCUUCCUAAACACUGCCUCCUUCUUCCCCUUGCCUGCCUAGAGAGCUAGGAACAGUGUCUGUACUCUGAACAUCAACCAUACGACUGAUAAUAAAAUCAGCAAAGAUAUGAACAUGACCCACACAUUUGGCUUGCCCAAACACCUCUAAAUGUUGAGGAAGACUUGCAACUUGAAAAUAUAGAGGACCUUAAGGACAGACCCAGACUGUAGCUGCCACCAGGUCCAGUUUCCCAGGUGUCUUUCUGUCUUCACUGACCUGCUAUGUUGGAGUCUUCAGCAACAUGCAGUACAACUGGGCCUAGAAUUUGACAUUCUUCUGACUCUGUAUUGUAAUUUUUUUUUCUUCUUAUAACUUCAUGCUUUUCCUGAAUUCAUCCACCAGGCCACAACUCAGUUGUUGGCUAAAGAAUUAGAAUUAUAGAACUACAAUUAUAUAUCAGUAUAAAAUGAUUUUAUGGGUUUGGGGUCACCCGGGAGCACCUCUGGAACCACUCCAUGGUCAUGGUUGCAGCACCCUGUGUCUGAUGCUUGACCCUCCACCAUUAGAGAUUCAUUCUUUUGUGGAGGCUGGUGUCUUCAUUGGAUGCAGACCCGUCAACAGCAAAUGGGAACAGCUCACAAAUGGGAAGGAUUGUUCCCCCAAGAGUCACGCAACCUUGGUGAUGAUGAGACAGAGGAGAAGCCAUGACGGGGAUGUUGGAAAUUGUAAUGAGGAUAGUUUUGGGACUUAAGAGAUGGUCCCCUUUCUGUUACAGAUAUUCCAUAAAUGCUGUCACCUGCCAAGCUGGAUGUAGAAUACAAAAUAUAACCCAGGUACACUGGUGGGAAAUACCCUGCACAAGACCUGAGCAAGCCAGAAACCCAGAGGGAAAGGACUGGGCACAUGCACAAGCCGCCAGAGGAGGCCCCAGGGCUCUAGCUCCUGCAUGACUGAGUCUGAGAUCUGGUGAGAACCAGGCCUCCCAAUCCUCAACCUGAGGCUUCUUUCUCCAAGAAUUGUCCUGUAUGAUCACAUAGUAGUUACUUUUCUCAUGGCUGUGACAAAACACUUGACAAAGUGAGCUAAAGGAAGGGCUUUGAGGAGGAUGUGGUCAUCAUGGGGACGAGGAUGGGGCAGGAGGGAGCGUCAGGCGGUGGGUCACAUCGCCUCCACGCUCGGGAGAGAGUCGUGGAUGCCAGUGCUUUAGUUGGUUUCCUCCUUUGUCUUUGUCCAUUCAGUCUGGGGCCCCAGCCAGUAGAUGGUGAUACUCACAUUCAGGGUAGGACUUCUUGUAAGCCUCCCUAAAAACAGCCUCACAGACACACCCGGAGGUGGGUCUCUUGGGUGACUCCAAAUGUAGUCAAGUUGACAACCUAGAUGAACCAUUAAAGGCGCUUUUGUGUGGGGCUGAAAGAGGAAGGAGUUUGUAUUGGUAUUAGAAGACAGGAGAGAGAGAGAGAGAGAGAGAGAGAGAGAGAGAGAGAGAGAGAGAGAGAGAGAGAGGAGAGAGGAGAGAGGAGAGAGAGAGAAGCAGAAGCCACAAUGUGCUCUGUCUUCUGGACAUUAGGAUGGCUUUGGGGCAGAAACAGGAUGAAAUGGGUGUUUCUGCAAGAGACUUACUGAGACUCUGAACACAGGGGUGGGUGCUGGUGGCUCACAACCCACCCACAUUUCUGCACAGCAUUCAGAAGCCCUGGGUACAGCCCUCCCUAUUCUCAUGGGGGACACUGUCAAUGCAGAUGGCAGCAAGGCAGCUUAAGGUUAUCAGAAGAUGACCCAGGGGAGCUCCAGUGAAGGCUUAUUGUGAAUAUGCAUGAUGUGGGUCUCCUAGAAAUCUCCGGGAGGACUUGCAGGCAUCCCAUCAGAAGAGGAAUCUAGGGAGGACCCCAGGGCAUUGCUACUUAGUGUGAUAUAGGCAUAGUCUCCUAGUGACAUCAUCAGAUCACUACCUGAAAUACUGUACAAAAACCACCCACAGGCUCAUUGGUCCACUCACUUGACAUCUCACACACCCAAAUGCAGGCUGUGAUUCUACAGGUGUGGCAAGAUUGAGAAAGGGGAGAGGCAAGAGUGGUUUCAAGGACCCACUACACAAUCAAGAGAAGGAAGAGAAAAGGCUCCUCUUUGUCCUGAUUGAUGUGAGACUAAAGGAGAAAUAAGGGAGGGGGCAAGAUUUGAACUCAGAGUCUUUCAGUGGGAAACUGUGACUUGAAUGGUCCAAGGCGUGGUUCAUGGACCAGGAAGAAAAGUUCAGAUACUGAGUUUAGUGAAUCUCAGUAUAGCAUAAGAUAGCCUGCAAGGGCUGAUAUUAGAUUAGUGAAGAGGGGACAGAGGAGAAGAAUGUGGGGCAGGGGAGGAAAAGAAGAGGGAGAUGAGAGAAGAAAUAAGGAAAACAACAGAUCAUCUUUGCAUGCAAUUUGUCCUGACGUCACCACCCUCAGUUCUUCCACCACCCUCUUGCCCAUGUGCUGGAUCCUGUCUUCCUUCCUGGGCAAGCUCCAUUUUCAAGAUCCACUAGCUAAGUUCUGGUGUCAUGGAAUGGGCAUUGUAUAAGCUGAACUUUUCCAGCAGUUAAAAAACAGUGUCUUCCAUACCUGCAAAGAUAUUAUGCAACCCGAGCGACACCCUUGAGAGAACUUCCUAAGCAGAUGUGACAGACAGCGCUGAGGGCGGGAAUAUAGGUUGAGAGGUGUCAGUUGGGUGCCGUUGCGCUUGUCUAUAGCCAUUCCCAAGUUGACAGGUCCUCUGGCCUCGGGGGUGGCGUGUACUCUUUGCACUUGUCCCUGUACCCAAGAGUCCAAGAGCAGAUUCAGUUUUGCUGAUCUGUCCCCCCAGCUGUGUGCUGUGUGUUACCACUCUCAUUUAUUAGGGGUUACAGUGAGCUUGUUUGGGGUUAUGUGCUUCCUAGCAGCCCCAGACAGUAAGCUUUACCGGUCCUCUGCUCCCUUUUGCAGACAAGCAUGGGGUUACUUCGGGAUGUUAAGUGAUGUGUCCAAGGUCACAGAGCCCCAAAUUUAAGACCAAAGAGGGUCUGUGACCCUCUACUGGUGGUGUCAAAGAAAACAAGGUCAUGUGAAAUUCAGUCGCUGAAUUUGUGACCUGGUCCUUUAGCUCAAGCCUCUCAGCUUUUCUCAGUCAUCUGCCCUUGACAUACACAAUAAGGGUUGGCAUUGGAAGUUGAGGCUGCCAAGAGCAUCUGGUGGGGCAGUGAUUGGGCGCAUACAUCACAGAGUCCUAUUGUGCACACCUCACACUAAGGACAUUAGGUACUCUCUUUCUUUAUGACACCCCGGAAGGAAGAAUCUGAGCCACAAAAAACAGAUCUACCUGAAAAACAUCCACCCCAGGAGAAGAUAGUCCUUGACCAUGGCGAGCCACAGCUGCAUUCGGAUCACACGGACACUGAUCACAGAAGGUCUUGGAGACACUGAAACCGUUCCUGUUAUCCAGCGUUCGGGAGCACUCCGGCCACUGGAAAGAUGGUCACUGAGAAGCACCACUGGUUUCAGUGACUCUGCUGGAUUUUCUUAACACUGAAAGGCUCAUGCUAUGGCACACCUUUCUGACAGGACUGUGACUUCGCUGUCGUAGAUCUGCCUCAAGACCCUGAUCUCAAUUUUAGAUGCAACGGAUGUUUUUGCACAUGACAUCAGGGCAGAUGAGGGAAGGAAGGUGGAGUUUUUGUCUUACGAGGAUUCAGGCUAUACCUCUAGAUAACAAUUUGGUUAACAUUUGACAAUAUAUACUAAGACAAUACUACUUUUGGGAACCCAUCACAUGGAAAUAAAGGCUCUCAUUCACAAGGUAUGUGUAAAAGAACAUUUACUAUAAGUUUCUCAGAGUGACAGGAAACUGAGAACAACUUGAAAGUCUCUUAAUAAAGGGUUGCUUUUUUUU